rnacentral:misc_RNA from 1 species
GAUGAAGAAUGUAGCGAAAUGCGAUAAGUAAUGUGAAUUGCAGAAUUCAGUGAAUCAUCGAAUCUUUGAACGCACAUUGCGCCCCUUGGUAUUCCGAGGGGCAUGCCCGUUCGAGCGUCAUUAUACCCCUCAAGCCUAGCUUGGUGUUGGGGCCUGCUGUUACCGGCAGCCCUUAAAAUCAGUGGCGGUGCCAUCUGGCUCUAAGCGUAGUAAUACUUCUCGCUACAGGGUCCCGGUGGAUGCUUGCCAUCAACCCCUAAUUUUCUAUGGUUGACCUCGGAUCGGGUAGGGAUACCCGCUGAACUUAAGCAUAUCAAUAAGCGGAGGA